GGUUCAUUCAAAUUUCUUCCCUAUCAACUUUCGAUGUUUGGGUAUUGGCCAAACAUGGUUGCAACGGGUAACGGAGGGUUAGGGCUCGACCCCGGAGAAGGAGCCUGAGAAACGGCUACUACAUCCAAGGAAGGCAGCAGGCGCGCAAAUUACCCAAUCCCGACCGGGGAGGUAGUGACAAUAAAUACUGAUACAGGGCUCUUUGGGUCUUGUAAUUGGAAUGAGUACAAUUUAAAUCCCCUAACGAGGAACAAUUGGAGGGCAAGUCUGGUGCCAGCAGCCGCGGUAAUUCCAGAUCCAAUAGCGUAUAUUAAAGUGUGUGGUUAAAAAGCUCGUAGUUG
rnacentral:rRNA from 1 species